CAAAAUUAACUGAGGAUUUUCACCUUCAGCUCUCUACACAGCUCUCCUGAUGCUGUAGAGAGAGCUUAAAGCCAGGCUAGAUGAACUGGGCUUUGGGAGAGCCAAGAUUUCAGGCUGAGCCCAGCAUAGGAUGCAUGAGCACCAUGUUCUUUGCUCUGUAGGCCGCUGCUAAUUACCAGAGCUAUUAGCUCCUUCUAAGCUACUUAUUAAAAUAAUUAGCAUAGACCUCCUCUGUUACAGACUAGACUCUGUUACAGACUAGUUGCUUAACAUUAAUGAACAAAUUGCCUGUCCCUGGUCUUUGUGCUAAUAAUCUAAUGACAAGGACAGCUUUUGCUAUAAACUUGUUCUGAGCUGGUUGCUUUCAGUAAGACUUUUAACAGAUGAAAAGAUGAAAUUAGUGUUUGCUCUGUCAGCAGGAAUGGGUAACAGAAACUGGCCUGUAAACAAUGAACAAUUAUGCUGGGAAUUAACUCCCAAGGAGAGGACAGACUCUUUCAGAGUAUAACCAGACAGAGAUUAUGUAAGGUUUCUCUCAACCACAUCCAAGUCAACCAGAAUUCUUGGUUUCCCUUGUCCACUUCUCAGCUGAAGUAGAGGUUUCUGCUUCUCUUCCACCAACAUUUUGAUGUGUCAAAUCCCUUCUCAGUAAAAGCACAUGGAUUUUAUGGCCUUCGUAGUACUGCUGUUGGUUUUUUAUUUUAUUUUACUGUAUUUUUUUAAGAGUGGAGGAAAAAGGAAAACUGAGAAAAAGGAGCCUAAUUAGAGAAAAUGGGCUUAAUUUGGAAGCCACGGGUACGUCUUUAAUAAGCCUUUGUUGAGCUUUUGCCCACAGUAAAUUUAUACAAGCUUUGGAUAGAUGGUAGAUCUGUGUUUACUGUGGCCUGCUUUAAAUGGAGAGCUUUCAGCACUACUUUGCCAAAAGCUAAGGGUGCUGAUGAGGUAAUGAAACCAACAAGUCCUGGGAAAUGCCCACUCAGCUAGGAGGAACCUUUCCUUGGGUCCCUUGGUUGUUGAGGUCUGUGUAAAAUAGUAUUUGUUUCAGUAAGAUGCUUGCUAGCUCCCUCACUGUGGAUUUAAUAUCUUUUAUGAGGUUUGAUUCCUCAGUUCUUUGCUGCCUUCUGUCUUGCUGGUCAGACUUUUCGGAGCUCUUUCAAAAAGACUGGCAUUUAUUAUCACGAUUUCAUCUCUUAGGUUCUGGCCAGCCUGCUUCUGGAAGGUUGCAUGUAAGAGUGCAACCUUCAAGAAUGCUGAUUUAACUGAACCACCCUGAAUUGAAUGAAGCGUGAGAUGUAUGCACCUGCCAAUUGGAUGGGAGUCACUUAGAAUCCAUCUCAUCCCAAGCAGAGGGUGGCAGUCCUUGCAGAAUUGGUAGCCGUUUACUGUUGGUUAUUCUUCACACUCAGAAUCAGUCCCUGUACAUUUUCUGCUGCACACUGUAUCUUGAUCUGAAGAUGUGCCAAGUUUUACUAUUUGGAGAGGAACCACUGAGCAUGUAUGCUGUAAGGGAUUACUGGAAGUGAUUUGCUGGCACAAAAAGAUUUGCUGUAUGUAACAGGGAAGUAGAUGGUCUCAUUCUUCUGAAUAUAUCUCAGUGCUUGGGGAAUUAAAGCUCUAGUGUGUUGUGUGGGUGGGUUGUUUGUUUUGUUUUUUUUUUUAAACAUAUUAUUCUGACAUUUGGCCAUUUCCUGGCAUGUGGCCAAGGUUUCCAUGCUGCCUGUGGAGGAGGGAAGUGGGUGUGGAGGCAUAGUGCUUUUGAGGGCAGUAGUUCCCUAAUUUUGGGCAGCAGUGGAGUCUUGUGUGCCUCUGUCCAGAAUGGUUUGGCAGGAGUUGGUGUGUAAUUAGUAGGAAUGCAAGAGGUGCCUUGAAUGCUUUAAAACUUACAAUAUUAGAGCUGUGCCAGAAUAAAUAGCAGCUUUCUGCUGCAGACCUGGAGUUUGAUCAUCAGCCCUUGCAACAAAAACACUCCACUGAGCCUGAGCCUUUAUGGCACCUGGGUUCUAUCCCAUUAGAUUUCAUUGCUUUUGUCCGUCACACCUUUUCAGUCUGCUUAGUUGAACAGGUAUGUUUUCCAUCACCCAGAGGGAAACUGGGCAGUCUGGGGAUAUGUUAAUGAGUGACGUAAUUACGAAAGUCACUUAGCACUUUGGCGGUAUAUCAGGACAUAUGUGACUUUGGAUUAUUCCCAGGUUACCAAUGUUUUAGGUCUGUUUAUUUUCAGUAAAACAUUACUAGUGCGUGAAAUUACUGCUAGGAUCUCAAGAGGUUUCAGAGGAGAAUGUUAAUGUUGUUAGAAUCUAGCACAUUGAAAAGGAAACUGGGAAAAGGUACAUAAAGGUAGGGAGGUGGGGGCUAAUUACAAGCUCAAUUAAAAUAUCUAAAGGAAUACAAAGCAUAGUCUAAGUGGUAACAAAGACACAACAGAAAUCAAAUCCUUCUCUGGACUGUGGCCUCUGUGACAGAAAACAGGUUCUGCUCUGGUUUUACAAGGGUAUUGAGAUUCCUUAACGAGAGUACUUGGGAAAAGAGAAGGAUAUAAAGUAAUCCCAUUAUAGAAGGUUUUUGUGUAAUAAUCAGCUGAGUGGUGUUGGAGUCGCGUGCACAUAGCAGGAGCAUGAAGGCUGGUUUCUAACCCCCCAGGCCUCCCCCCUGUUCCACUCUGUAGGUCAGCAGGUCUUUCCCACACUUACUCUUUCUUACUAGAGUCAGUUUUAUAUUAUAUGUAUAUAUAUGUGUGUAUAUAUAUAUAUAUAUAUAUAUAUAUAUUUAAUAGAUGUGUAGGACCACAAUUGUUAGCUCAGCCACUUCAGCUAAGGGAUAGAACCAAAGAUCAGAGUUAACAGCAGCGAUGGUGUCAGACAUGUUUUAAAUGGAUUAAAUGCGGCAGAAGCUGUUUAUACAUCUCAGCGGG